GUUGUCUGCCAUGGUGGAGCUCGGGAUGUUGGCAGAUCUGACCGGACUGUGCCAUUUGGAGUAACAGUCUACAAUGCCACAACACUUUGUUGGACCUAUUUUUGGCGUUUCUUCUGCCAGCUGAUGAGUCUUUUAGGGAUGCAAAUUGUCUGCCUUCG